UCCCUGGUGGGUCAGAUGGUAAAGAAUCUGCCUGCAAUGCAGGAGACCCAGGUUCAAUCCCUGGGUUGGGAA
rfam:Ovis aries breed Texel chromosome 2, whole genome shotgun sequence.